rnacentral:rRNA from 1 species
CCUACGGGAGGCAGCAGUAAGGAAUAUUGGUCAAUGGAGGCAACUCUGAACCAGCCAUGCCGCGUGCAGGAAGACUGCCCUAUGGGUUGUAAACUGCUUUUAUCCGGGAAUAAACCUACUUACGUGUAAGUAGCUGAAUGUACCGGAAGAAUAAGGAUCGGCUAACUCCGUGCCAGCAGCCGCGGUAAUACGGAGGAUCCAAGCGUUAUCCGGAUUUAUUGGGUUUAAAGGGUGCGUAGGCGGCCUGUUAAGUCAGGGGUGAAAGACGGUAGCUCAACUAUCGCAGUGCCCUUGAUACUGAUGGGCUUGAAUGGACUAGAGGUAGGCGGAAUGAGACAAGUAGCGGUGAAAUGCAUAGAUAUGUCUCAGAACACCGAUUGCGAAGGCAGCUUACUAUGGUCUUAUUGACGCUGAGGCACGAAAGCGUGGGGAUCAAACAGGAUUAGAUACCCUGGUAGUCCACGCCCUAAACGAUGAACACUCGCUGUUGGCGAUACACAGUCAGCGGCUAAGCGAAAGCGUUAAGUGUUCCACCUGGGGAGUACGCCCGCAAGGGUGAAACGUCAAAUGAAAUUGACGGCGUGAGACGUACGACCGACGGACGACGACGAGGGGAGGAGG